AUUCAGGCCACGGUCGGCACGGCGGACCCGAUGACAGGGGAGGGCCACUCUCUCAGGUUCGGAGGGGCAAGGUCGGUGGUCGGUUGCAAUCACCGGCACCAGAAAAUCCAUGGGAAGAAGAGACCAAAACAAGGGUCUCUUCUCCGACCAAAAAUCGGCGACACCCAUCGCCGUCAGUCACGCACAGAGGCACGGGAAGAAGGGGAAAGAAGGGAGGAAGAGAAGGAGAACUUACUUCGGCCUCCAGUGACCCCGUCGGUGAGCAAUCACGGUGAGAACGAAGCAAGGAUCCAUGGUUCUAAUUUGGGAAAAUCG
rnacentral:lncRNA from 1 species